rnacentral:lncRNA from 1 species
GAUGAAUGAGUCUGUGGGAAUUGAAAAGGUUUGUUUUUUAUGAUUGAAUGAUGCAUUGUUGGAGAUGGUGGUUCAAAUGGUGGUGAUGGUGGUUCAAAUGGUGGUUCAAAUGGUGGUAGUGUUAAUUGUGGUGGUUGUUGUGUUGAUGAGGUUUCGGUUUCAUAGGUUUUAUAGGGUUUGGAUUUGGAAGGUUUUGGUUUUUUCAAUCCUCUUAUGCUAAGGGUUGUGUUUAAUUUUU